rnacentral:rRNA from 1 species
UUGUCCGGAAUCAUUGGGCGUAAAGAGCGUGUAGGCGGCUCGAUAAGUCUGCUGUGAAAGUCCAGGGCUCAACCCUGGAAGGCCGGUGGAAACUGUCGGGCUAGAGUCCGGAAGAGGCGAGUGGAAUUCCCGGUGUAGCGGUGAAAUGCGCAGAUAUCGGGAGGAACACCAAUGGCGAAGGCAGCUCGCUGGGACGGUACUGACGCUGAGACGCGAAAGCGUGGGGAGCAAACAGG